UACGUAGGGAGCAAGCGUUGUCCGGAAUCAUUGGGCGUAAAGCGCGCGUAGGCGGCCCGAUAAGUCCGCUGUAAAAGUCAACGGGCUCAACUGUUGAAAGCCGGUGGAUACUGUCGGGCUAGAGUACGGAAGAGGCAAGUGGAAUUCCUGGUGUAGCGGUGGAAUGCGUAGAGAUCCGGAAGAACACCGGUGGCGAAGGCGGUCUGCUGGGCAGUAGCUGACACUGAGGCGCGACAGCGUGGGGAGCAACAGG
rnacentral:rRNA from 1 species